rnacentral:sRNA from 1 species
CCGGGCACGACGCCGAGUUCUGCCGGUGUCCGGGGUCCACCAGACCGUUUCGGCAGAAGCGGGGGAACCACUUCUCGGUCCCGGUCCGCCCGGGACCUCGGGGUGAAGCUCGCCCGGACGUGCGCGUCCGGGCGGCCGGGUGACUCCCACCCGAACCCGACAGCUCACCCCGCAGGCGCAGGGAGGAACA